GGAAAUUGUCAUACCUACUUGGCUAAUGGCUCCCAGCAGCUAGAGAGAAUUUGAAUAGCAGAGAAUCCACAUAUUCUGCUCUUGGAGAGUCAAAGAGUGCCUAAGACUCUUCCUAAUGAAGCAUGAAGUGAAAAUUUAUUGAUCUAAUGGUGACUAUGAGUAAAGAGGGGACAUGUCAAUCAGUUGAAGAGAUUGUUAUCUAAAAACUCAUUCUGGCCAUGAGGAAAGAGUACAUGGAUCCCUGUCAGUUCCAUCUUCUCUAGCACAGCUCUCUGAAUGACAUGCAGAAUGGCCAGGUCUGGGACAGGUAAACCUGCAUGUGCCUCCCCUUGGUGAUCUGAGUUUAAUUCUCUGUUCCAUAUUCACUCAAGCCAAUUCCAGCUCAUACGGACAUUCCAGCCACAGAACAGCAGCUGUCCAUCUUGGAUGUCCCAAGUGGCUAGUGAACGUGCAAGUAAAAAAUUCUGCUUCUGAAUAUUUCCUGUGCUACUUCUAGAAAAUUCCUUUCUAUGGAAUGAUGCACAAAACUAACACUGGGAUAGAAGAGGGUGUACUAUACUUCAUUAAAACUAAAACCCCUUUCUCACACUCACAACUAGGGAGAGAGAGGUCCUGUCUAACUAAAUGCUACCUUUUCAAUAUGACACCCAGAGCUUCAUCCUCGGACCCUCCUUAGUCUGACAUCUCUUGGGAAGGGACAAGUAUGUCUUGACCUGGGGCUUUUCAGGUACUUUCAUGUGAGGCUCAGUAACCCAGCCCUAGCAGAUGAAUACUCCAAGAGUUCCUUCCUGGGCCCACAGUAACCGUUCUCCAUGUGGAUGGGCAGCCAACAUUUCCUUGGCUUAUUAAGAAAGGGCAGACUAGCAAAUGUAAUCUUCCUUUUACUUUAUAGGAUGCUUUCCUGGAGACUCCUUGUAGCCUGACUCUGAAGAGCAGCAGCCUGGGCUUAAGCCUGUUCCCCCAAUGAGUCUCUUUUUCCCUGGGUACAAUCCUGUGAUUGCCAUAUUUCAACCUUCUGUGACUUUCCAAUCAGCUAUUUGAUUGCUUGACUAGAAACUGAAGCUAUUCCAGCCUGGAUAGUAUGGUCUUAGGAUUUCCACAACCAACUUUCCUCUAGAAGAAUAUUGGGAAGGGUUUGUGAGCAAGUCGUAAGAUCAGAAAGGAGCACUGGAAUGAGUGUCAAAGGUAUUGUAAACUGAGGCAAGUUAUUUCACCUCUUUGAACCUUAUUCCCAUUAACUGUACAUAAGAUUAAGGUUGCUUCUAAGUAGCAAGUCAUAGAAGCCGUAAAAACCUCUGCAUCCAAGGAGAACACUCAUAUUGGUAAACGUGCAAUUGUCAGAGUUUCACCUGGAAAUUGCAUGAUCUUGGUCUCAUAUUUGAAGACACACACAUUCAGGAAUUUAGUCACAGGGCUUGCAUGCUGGCUAACUCUCAGCCUUCCCCCACCAAAGUAGAUUAAUUCACGCACACUCCAAUCAAGCAAAGGCGUAGGCUGGAAAUUCUCAGAGAAAUUUGGAUUUCGUACAGCUGAUAUGGUUAUUUUGAGACAUUUCAAAUGGAAUUUUUUUCAUGAAUGAUUUAAGCUACUAUUUGUUUAGUGCUGGUUGGGCAGAAAUCAAUUCAAAUAAAAAGGUUUGGGUCAGUGUACCCAUUUGAAGAACAGGCUUUAUUCCGCCCCCCCCCCACCUUUCUUUUUAUUCCCUUUUUAUUUAUUCUAGAACCAUAGCAAUUAGAAGAAUCACAUCAUGAGUUUGGGCAAAAAAGUCAGUUGAUCCUGACCCAAAAGUAAUUGAAAAGCAAACCAUCAAAACCUUCCUACCUCAAAAAGAGGAUUUUUGAGGAAGCAAUGUAUGAAUAUAACAUAUCUUACAAAGUGAAAUAAGCACAGGGGAUAAACUUUCCAUGUAUGCAAUCCUUCAACUGAGAUUUUCCUCACAUGUGUGUCAUUACCUUGAUCAAAUUGAGAGUUGACCAGGGACUCAAUAAAUUUGGAGCAUUUAGGGAGCAUCAGGUUCUCACUUCAGAUUCACAAUUUCUGAAUUUCCUUUCAUAUUUUCAAGUUGGUAGUCCUUAGAGGAGAUUAGGUACUGCAUUUUGGCAAUGGAAUAUGGAAGAGCUAUGAUUCUGGGUUCUGUAAAUUCUUCUUGACCAUAGAUAUGUCCUAGUUUUAGCUGUGAUUACAAUCUCACGGAUCAAGCUCUCUUGAUAGAAUGUACAUUUUAUUGAGAGGUCAAUCCUCAAAAUUCAUGUCUUCAAGAUGCUUUUCAAAUGUUCAGAUUGUGUAUAUAGGCUUAGUUUAUACCCUUAACCCCCAAAUGAAAAUUCUGGCAAUCUUAUUAGACUUCUCACAAAGCAGGUCUUUCAAGCUUCCCCAACACAUGUGAAAACUGGUUUUUAUGAAGAUCCAAGACCAGCCAGGAAACUUCAGCAAAGGCUAGAUUUCAGAAAAGCAGAUCUUCAGUUGUGCAAAGGACAUUGCUAAACUUCUGGGUUGGAAGGUAUCCUGACAUACCUAAUUCUAUUUAUGAAAAUGCAUAUGUGCUUUGAAACUCCAUUUAGAUCCAGCUCUUUCAGCUAGAGAUGAAAACCAUAUGUGUGUCGAAGGCCCUUAUGUUUUUGCCUUGGAGAGUCUUAGAUUUUGUUUUGAUUCCCAACUCAGCAUCAUUUUCAGAUUUGGAGGCAUCCUGGGUAUAUCCUUGACCCCCAGUGUCAUGCGGAAAUAUUUUUGUUAUCCCUUCGUACUCUUCUUAGAUGAUACUCAUUUCCAUAUGUUGAAGAAGGUGUUGUGGCCUUUCAUCCUCACAAUGUUGUUCUAGGAAAACUAGAGAUCGGAAGACAAUAUGUGAACUAGGCAGGCUCACAACCUGAUGCAUAGGUAAAUAGUAAUUUAUUCACCAUUUAAUAUCAAUUCAUGAGGUCUUCCUUUCUCCCUGAUUUAUUGUUUCUUUUAUGUGGUGUAGACCUAAGCUUCUGCUGUACCGCGGAUCCAAGAAUGGUGGCCAUACCCCAUUGUGAAGAUGACUCGCUGUCUACCAAUUCUAGUUCCCAUUCUUCCAGGUAAUAAUCCAGAUGUGGCCUGGCAUGUGGCUUAUCAGCUGGGGACUAUGUUUCAAGAGCUCCUUGCAGGUGGACAACAUCUUGACUCUACGUGGAAGAUAUGUUUCUCAGUUUGUCGAGAGCCACAGCCGAAGGGGCCCCAGCAAACUUCCAGCUGCCAGCUGAUUGGCUCCUCUGCGGUGAUGCUCAUUGGGCUGUUUCCCCGCCCUUUCAGACCACGGAGCUGCUCAUUGGGGGGGCUCUUUUGGCUCCACCCACACGACCCAGCCAAUCGGCCUCCAGAGCAGGAGGAGUGGGGGUUGAGAGGCUCGCUGGAAGCCGGUGGUGGCAGUUGGGCCCUGAGGGAAUUCCUGCAGAGCUCCUGUGGUGCUGCGUGUGCUCUAAAAGUAAAGUUCGUUUCUGCUUGACAAGUGGCUCGUGAAUUGUGCCCAGCCAGACUCCUCCAUCUUGGGCGGCCCCUUUGAAGUCUCCUCAUUUCCCGGAUCCUGGGUUUCCCCUGCUCCCUUGAUUUCACCGUAGUAUUACCCUUGCUGGGGACUUGCAUGCAUUCCUGCACCCCAUAUCUGGCUCUGCCCUAGACUUAAGAUGCAUCUUCAGAUUCACUUAUUCAGCGGCAUCUGCACUUGAAUGCGCCACGGCACCUCAAAUUCAAAGAUGUCUAAGCCUGACUUUAUCACUUCACCAUCACCUCUUCCUUCAAAAUCCACACCUCUGCUGACCUUCUCUCUCCCCAUGGUUCGCCCAAGACUGCAGCCUUGUAACCCCUCCCACCACCAACUGGUCACAGGGUCUUGUGUUUCUCUAUUGUUUGCCGUCUUGAAAAACGGAGUGGAUAUUUUACAAUGCGUCUAAGUGUGCCACGCGUGUCCCUACGCGACAUCCACCCGAGAAGGAUGAAGGAUGAGUCUUGCACACAGUUUAUGCAGGACCUGGCCCCCACUGGUGUCUCCAGCUGCAUUUCUUGUUCUCUUCCACCUUCAUCUUCUUCUUAUCCCACAUUCUUCCAGCCCUGCCAAGGACUCCUCACCCUCCAGGUCUGAGGAAUCUGUCUGCAAAGCUCCAAGUGGCUUCACCACCCACUGUUGUGCCUCUACUGUAACUUGCAGGUGUCGUGACACGGACUACGACACUGGUCUGUCAUGUGGUUUUUCACUGUUGUACUGAAGUUUCUUGAGGCUGGGCCUGCAGGAAGGCUGAGUGUUAUGGUUUGGAUGUGAGGUGUCCCCCAAAAGCUCACAUGUGAGACAGCGCAAGAAGGUUCAGAGGAGACAUGUCUGGGUUGUGAGAGUCUUGACCCAACCAGUGAAUUAAUCCCCCUGUGGGGAUUAACUGAGUGGUAACUGAGGUGGUGGGGUGUGGCUGGAGGAGGUGGAGUUGGGGCAUGGCUUUGGGGGUACAUAUUUGUGUCUGGUGAGUGGAGUCUCUGCUUCCUGGUCAAGAUGUGAGUUUUUGCUUCCCUCUGCCACACGCGCCUGCCAUGAUGUUCUGCCUCACCUCAAGCUCUGGGAAUGGAGCCUUCUGCCUAUGGACUAAGACCUCUGGAACCAUGAGCCCUUCAAUAAACGUUUCCUCCUCUAUACUUGUUCUGGUCGGGUCCUUUAGUCACAGCAGCAGUGACAAAGCUGACUAAAACCAAUGAUGAACACCUCACUCAGCUCACGGUGACAGGACACGUGGUGCUGUUGUGGCCCAGGGACACAUGGUGGAGUGAUAACAAGCUGGUCAUCUUUCCAUUACUGUGACAAAUACCUUAGAAAAUCAACUCAGAAAACCAAACACAUUUAAGCUCAAAGUUGUGGAGGGUUCAGCUCGUGACUGGCCCUGUUGCUUGAGAUCCGUGGUGGCACAGUGCAUGGUGGUCACAGUCCCUCUUUGAAGGCACGCUCCAGUUACCUAAAGACCUCCUGCUGGGCCACACCUUUCUAUGGCUCCACCCCCUCUCAGUAGUGCCAAAAUGGAGACAAAGGCUUCAACACAUGGAACUUUGUGGGACAUUUUAGAUCCACCUAAGGGUGGCCACCUUAGGUCAGCUGGCCCUGGGAAGGCUCCUCUCAGCUGAACUGCAUUCUCUUGAUUCUCCCUGGAAGUCCUCUUUAGUAGUUCAUAGAAGAGUGGGAUUAAAAGUGAGGAUACAGGUGAUGAUGCACAAGGGAAGAGAGGAGUGAAGGGGGGCUACAGGAAGUACAAGUACUGAGGCCAUUGGCACACAGCUGGCCCUCUCCCUGCUCCUCCUGCAAGCCAUCGUGACCAGUUGUUCCAGAAUACGACUCUAGGGCAUGUGACGAGAUCCCAGGCUUUUUUGGGGAUGUGUCUGUUGUGUGAAAAUGGUAAAAUUCUUUUAAGAAUCAGAAAAUAUGGGUCUUCAUUCCAACCAUGACUUGAAUUUGUGAUUCUAACUCUGGCAAAUCACAGAACCACCCUGGUCUUCAUUCCUUCUCUUUUCCUCACCCUGCUUAAUUGGAGUUGGUGUUGUUUCUGGGAUGGUCUUGCCUUUUUGGUAACCAGGUUAAUUUUUAGAGGAGGUGAAGUUUGGUUUGUAUUUGAAAAACUGAAGAAUUAUCCAGGAGACCUCCUGUUUUCACCUAUUUAUAACAUAUAGAAAUUGUGUCAGAGUCAAUGCUUUAUCAAAACCCAAACUAAAGCAAUAUUAGGAAAGUAUUAGUGAACACAUUUCAGAGAUUUUUUUUUCAGUUAAGUUAGAGAUGGAUAAUAUUUGUAUUUUGAUGUAUAGUGUUGCAGGGUUUUGAUAAUUAUCAGUGGGUCAAAAACACAUAACGCUACAUGCCCCAAAAUAUAAUGGAUAUAAAGAUAAUAGAAGUAAAAAAAAAUUAAAAAAGAAGAAAAUAUUGCUAAUUUACCCCUUGGUAAGUGCUGAAUAAACUUGAGUCGUGAUUCUGUGUGUACC